AGAGUUUGAUCAUGGCUCAGGACGAACGCUGGCGGCGUGCCUAAUACAUGCAAGUCGAGCGGUCCCUUCGGGGAUAGCGGCGGACGGGUGAGUAACACGUAGGCAACCUGCCUGUAAGACCGGGAUAACUAUCGGAAACGAUAGCUAAGACCGGAUAGCUGAUUGUCUCGCAUGAGAGAAUCAAGAAACACGGUUUCUAAUUUAUUAGAGGCUGUGGCUUACAGAUGGGCCUGCGGCGCAUUAGCUAGUUGGUGGGGUAACGGCUCACCAAGGCGACGAUGCGUAGCCGACCUGAGAGGGUGAUCGGCCACACUGGGACUGAGACACGGCCCAGACUCCUACGGGAGGCAGCAGUAGGGAAUCUUCCGCAAUGGACGCAAGUCUGACGGAGCAACGCCGCGUGAGUGAUGAAGGUUUUCGGAUCGUAAAGCUCUGUUGCCAGGGAAGAACGCUUAGGGGAGUAACUGCCCUUGAGGUGACGGUACCUGAGAAGAAAGCCCCGGCUAACUACGUGCCAGCAGCCGCGGUAAUACGUAGGGGGCAAGCGUUGUCCGGAAUUAUUGGGCGUAAAGCGCGCGCAGGCGGUGGAUUAAGUUUGGUGUUUAAUCCCGGGGCUCAACCCCGGAUCGCACUGAAAACUGGUUCACUUGAGUGCGGGGGAGGAAAGUGGAAUUCCACGUGUAGCGGUGAAAUGCGUAGAGAUGUGGAGGAACACCAGUGGCGAAGGCGACUUUCUGGACCGUAACUGACGCUGAGGCGCGAAAGCGUGGGGAGCAAACAGGAUUAGAUACCCUUGUAGUCC
rnacentral:rRNA from 1 species